UUCAAUGAUGAUGAAACUAUCUAAUCCCAGCUCUAUGAGAUCUUAAUUUGUUUAAGGUCAAGGAAUUACAUUGUUUAGUGUUUUAUCUGAGCCUUUUU
rfam:Helianthus annuus linkage group 13, whole genome shotgun sequence.